rnacentral:rRNA from 1 species
UACGGGGGGGGGUAAGCGUUGUUCGGAAUUACUGGGCGUAAAGGGCUCGUAGGCGGCCAACUAAGUCAGACGUGAAAUCCCUCAGCUUAACUGGGGAACUGCGUCUGAUACUGGAUGGCUUGGAUUCGGGAGAGGAAUGCGGAAUUCCAGGUGUAGCGGUGAAAUGCGUAGAUAUCUGGAGGAACACCGGUGGCGAAGGCGGCAUCCUGGACCGGCAUUGACGCUGAGGCGCGAAAGCCAGGGGAGCAAACGGG